CCUACGGGCGGCUGCAGUGGGGAAUAUUGCACAAUGGGCGCAAGCCUGAUGCAGCCAUGCCGCGUGUGUGAAGAAGGCCUUCGGGUUGUAAAGCACUUUCAGCGGGGAGGAAGGCGUUAAGGUUAAUAACCUUGGCGAUUGACGUUACCCGCAGAAGAAGCACCGGCUAACUCCGUGCCAGCAGCCGCGGUAAUACGGAGGGGUGCAAGCGUUAAUCGGAAUUACUGGGCGUAAAGCGCACGCAGGCGGUCUGUCAAGUCGGAUGUGAAAUCCCCGGGCUCAACCUGGGAACUGCAUUCGAAACUGGCAGGCUAGAGUCUUGUAGAGGGGGGUAGAAUUCCAGGUGUAGCGGUGAAAUGCGUAGAGAUCUGGAGGAAUACCGGUGGCGAAGGCGGCCCCCUGGACAAAGACUGACGCGCAGGUGCGAAAGCGUGGGGAGCAAACAGGAUUAGAUACCCCGGUAGUC
rnacentral:rRNA from 1 species